CAGUCGCCGCGGUAAUACGAAGGGUGCAAGCGUUACUCGGAAUUACUGGGCGUAAAGCGUGCGUAGGUGGUGGUUUAAGUCUGCUGUGAAAGCCCUGGGCUCAACCUGGGAAUUGCAGUGGAUACUGGAUCACUAGAGUGUGGUAGAGGGAUGCGGAAUUUCUGGUGUAGCAGUGAAAUGCGUAGAGAUCAGAAGGAACAUCCGUGGCGAAGGCGGCAUCCUGGGCCAACACUGACACUGAGGCACGAAAGCGUGGGGAGCAAAUGGGAUUAGAUACCCCCGUAGUCCCUGUCUCUUAUAC
rnacentral:rRNA from 1 species